rnacentral:tRNA from 1 species
GCUCUCUUAGCUCAGUUGGUAGAGCAUGUGCCCCAGGAGGGGCUGGUCGCAAGUUCAAGUCUUGCAGAGAGCA